UACGUAGGGAGCAAGCGUUGUUCGGAUUUACUGGGCGUAAAGGGCGCGUAGGCGGCAAUUCAAGUCAGCUGUGAAAUCUCCGGGCUUAACUCGGAACGGUCAGCUGAUACUGCUUUGCUAGAGUGCGGAAGGGGCAAUCGGAAUUCUCGGUGUAGCGGUGAAAUGCGCAGAUAUCGGGAAGAACACCCGUGGCUAAGGCGGCUCUCUAGUACGGUACUGACGCUGAGACGCGAAAGCGUGGGGAGCGAACAGU
rnacentral:rRNA from 1 species